AACAAUAAAAAAAUGUUGAAUGUUUUUUAAAUAAAUGAAUGCAUUAAUCAAUGAAUAAAAUUUAAAUACACAUAUACUAUACCUACAGACAGAUAUCCAGCCUGAUUACAUACUUACAGCUUACUUAGAAAUAAAUAUUAUAAAUAUAUAAAUCAGUCAAUUAUUUUAGGAAAUGAAAUACAAAUCAAAAGACAGACUGUGUCUCUAGUGUGAUUCCCAUAGAGAACACAGAGGGUAAAAAUGAAAGAAGAGUUUUAACUGUAAGCAUUUCUUAACAUGUAGAGGAAGGAAAACUUAUUUAGUAAAGAAAGAGGAAGAAACAUGCCAGUCUGUGUUAAAGUUAAACAGCAACACAUGUGACCUUGGACUAGUUGAACAGUUUAAACCCUCAGAGCUGCACGGGUUAUUUCUGUUUUUGUUCUCUGGAUGCAGGAGAUGAACAUCUCUUAAUGAGGGAGCACUGAUGACAUCACUCAGACUGACUCCUCCCCUUUCUCUGCUGUUUCUGCUCAUGGUUUCAGGAGUUCUCUCCCAGCCAGGGUGGGGUGUGUCUUACACACAGAGCAACAUCUGUGCUCUAAGGGGAUCUACAUUAACCAUGGGCUGC